rnacentral:rRNA from 1 species
AUUGUUGAGAGAGCAUGCAAUGCAUAGAAUGAUGGAUGAUUGAGAAUGUGUGAACGUGACCCUUUCCAUAACCCAUCCAUGUGGGUGGGCGAUUGACUGAGCUCGGAGCGAUCGGCACUAACGAACAAUGAACUUACAAACAGACGGCCCCUUGCCGUGAGCAGGGAGCACAAUGCGACGGAGAUUCUUUCUUCGGAAUCAAAUGACUCUCGGCAAUGGAUAUCUCGGCUCUUGCAUCGAUGAAGAACGGAGUGAAAUGCGAUACUUGGUGUGAAUUGCAGAAUCUCACGAACCAUUGAGUCUUUGAACGCAAGUUGUGCCCGAGGCCUUGUGGGCGAGGGCACGCCUGCUUGGGUGUCAUGGCAUUGCCGCCGCUUUUGCUCCAUGCUUUAUUAGCAUUGACCAGCGCGGAAAUUGGCCCCGUGUGCCCUCGGGCACAGUCGGUCAAAGAGUGAGGUAGCCGGUAGUCGUCGAGCACGAUGGAUGUUGGUCGUCACGAGCGAGAACUGAACAUCGUCCUUGUCGUCGUUUCGGAACGAACCCUCAAUCAAGAGACCCUACUAUGUGAUUGCGGAGUCGGAUGAAUGUCCCGUGCCAAUCAUUUAU